rnacentral:lncRNA from 1 species
CCCAGAGUACAGCUGGCCCUUUUGUCUGCCAGGGCAUCCUGUUAAGUCAUAUUUAACUUGCCAUCAAACAGAAUCCCUGGGAAGAUGAUUACUGUAUAGAAAAGCAGAAAACGGACUGAGAGAGCAAAGAUGACAGACUCUGACACAGAAAUAUACAAAACAAACAAACAAACAAAGUUGGAGGGGGAAUAUUUAACUUAUAAUAAGUUUAGAAGACAGCAAAUAUUCUUUUGUUUUAGCUUUUAAAAUAGUACUGCUAAAUUAGUAAGCAAUUUAAUAUUGCAAACAUCCAAAAUAUGAGAGUUUGUCUAUAGUUCAUGUAGAGUUCAUUCUUUUUUUGCCUUUUCAUAGGGUAGUAACUUUUCUAGCAAGACAGUUCAAGAGUCUGGUGGUCACUGAAAAAUGUAUAUCUACUGUCUAUUAUGCAGCCAUGUCAGCAUUCCAACCAUGCCAAAGCUCUCUCCUGCAAGCUGCUGUGCAAGCUUAGAAAAAGACAGUCUCUGCUUGGAAGCAUUUAACAGAUAGAUAUUCUAUCCUGUUUGAAUAGGAUAUGACAAAGAAGACUGAUGAACUUUAGGGUUGAACAGCAACAGAGAACAGCAAGAGAGAAAGAAGGACGAAUUCAAGAAAAAUAAUUGUAUUUUUUUCCACUGAAAUUCUAACCUAGUCUGCAUUUCUUUGCUUUCUCAGUUACAUACGACUGAUCUUUCUGUUGACAUACCAAUGGGCCAAACUGUUACAAUUUUAAGCACAUUCAUAGCAAUUAUUUUAUAAUUUAUUUGUGAUUCUAGGUUUCUUUUAAAGUAAUACUGAAGUUCUCCUGAUCUAAUUUUCUUAUACUCCUAAAAAAUCAGGGUAGUAGCGAGUGUUUGAACCACAUGGAUGUGUUUGUAUAGGUCAGAUUGGCAAGGAGAAUAGUUUCUUAAAUACAUCUAAAACACCAUUUUCCAAGAUGAUUAAAUCUGGUCUAAUUGAUCCUAUCCAAAGGAGUCCAAUUAGAGAGUAUUCUUGUUCUAGUUUGUUUUGUUUCUUCCCAGCAACACCCCCCCCCACCCCCCCCAACUAUUAGCCUUUCUACUGUUGAAAUUAAACAGUGGGGGAAGUCCUGUGAGAAAAAAAAUGCUUGUGUUUGAAGCAUCAUUUACUACACCGUGGAAGUAGGAAGACAACUUGUAUCAACACCUAUGCAUCUGUUUUGUUGUAUUUGUGUUUGUGACGGUGCUCGACUAUCAAUACCAGACUAAAAGCAUUCAUUGAGCAUCUGAACAGUCAUUUAAUUAUCACUGAAGUAAAUUCAGAACAUUGUUGUAAUUGAUUGAUUGGUGGAGAUCAACUAAUUAAUAGUAAUCGUACUCCAGAAAGAAAUUGCAAAGUUGUUAUUUAUGCUAUAGAAGCAACAGACUUUGUAUCCCUAGAGCUUUUAAUAAAAUACGUCAAUCUUUGGUUGGCCU